GACGAACGCUGGCGGCGUGCCUAAUACAUGCAAGUCGAACGCAGUGGGGACGGGUGAGUAACACGUGGCUAACCUCCCAUCAGAGGGGAUAACAAGUGGAAAAAGCUGCUAAACCGCUACUGAUGGAUGGACCCGCGGUGCAUUAGCUAGAUGGUGAGGUAACGGCUCACCAAGGCCACGAUGCAUAGCCGACCUGGUAUGGUGAUCGGCCACACUGGGACUGAGACACGGCCCAGACUCCUACGUGAGGCAGCAGUAGGGAAUCUUGGGCAAUGGACGAAAGUCUGACCGAGCAACGCCGAGUGAGUGAAGAAGGUGUUCGGAUCGUAAAGCUCUGUUGUUGGAGAAGCGGUAUCUAACCAGAAAGCCACGGCUAACUACGUGCCAGCAGCCGCGGUAAUUC
rnacentral:rRNA from 1 species